rnacentral:rRNA from 1 species
AUACGGAGGGUGCAAGCGUUAUUCGGAAUCACUGGGCGUAAAGGACGCGUAGGCGGGUUGGCAAGUCAGAUGUGAAAUCCUACAGCUUAACUGUAGAACUGCAUUUGAAACUGCUAACCUAGAGUAUGUGAGGGGGAGAUGGAAUUAGUGGUGUAGGGGUAAAAUCCGUAGAUAUCACUAGGAAUACCGAAAGCGAAGGCGAUCUCCUGGAACAUAACUGACGCUAAGGCGUGAAAGCGUGGGGAGCAAACAGUAUUAGAAACCCCAGUAGUCC